UAAGGAAUAUUGCUCAAUGGGAGAAAUCCUGAAGCAGCAACGCCGCGUGGUGGAUGAAGGGUCUAUGACUUGUAAACUCCUGUAAAGAAGGAAAAAAUUCCCAUUUGAUGGGAGAUGAUGGUACUUCUGGAGUAAGCCCCGGCUAACUACGUGCCAGCAGCCGCGGUAAUACGUAGGGGGCAAGCGUUGUCCGGAUUUACUGGGUGUAAAGGGUGCUCAGGCGGAUUUGUAAGUCAGAGGUGAAAUCUUACAGCUUAACUGUGAAACUGCCUUUGAUACUGCAAGCCUAGAGUAUGGAAGAGAGUGAUGGAAUAUCUGGUGUAGCAGUGAAAUGCGUAGAUAUCAGAUAGAACACCAAUGGCGAAGGCAGUCACUUGGUCCAUUACUGACGCUAAAGCACGAAAGCGUGGGUAGCAAACA
rnacentral:rRNA from 1 species